UAUCAUUUAGAGGAAGGAGAAGUCGUA
rnacentral:rRNA from 1 species